GGAGGGUUGAACAGCCAGAAGGAGGAGAGCUGUGAGAUGGAAGAGUUCUGUGAUCAAGAGUGCUGCUGAGUGUUGUGUGAGCUGGAAGGGCAUGCAUCUAAUUAGCCAACUAGAAGAGGCAAAGGUGAAAGGGAAGAUCGUUUUAUGUCAAAUUAGAUAUUCUGCUCCUUAGUCAUGAUGCAAUUUGAAGAUCUUCAGAGGAAAAGGUCAUGAGCAACUUUAUAAAUUACAUCACCAAUUCAGAGGACAGAAACACAAAAUAAUGCUUCAAUAACCCAA